UGAAAUAAUUCACAACAGCCUCGGG
rnacentral:piRNA from 1 species